rnacentral:rRNA from 1 species
UACGGGGGGAGCAAGCGUUGUUCGGAUUUACUGGGCGUAAAGGGCGCGUAGGCGGCCACCGCAAGUCGACUGUGAAAUCUCCGGGCUUAACCCGGAAAGGUCAGCCGAUACUGCGGGGCUAGAGUGCAGAAGGGGCAACUGGAAUUCUCGGUGUAGCGGUGAAAUGCGUAGAUAUCGAGAGGAACACCUGCGGCGAACGCGGGUUGCUGGGCUGACACUGACGCUGAUGCGCGAAAGCUAGGGGAGCGAACGGG